UACAGAGGAUGCAAGCGUUAUCCGGAAUGAUUGGGCGUAAAGCGUCUGUAGGUGGCUUUUUAAGUCCGCCGUCAAAUCCCAGGGCUCAACCUUUGAAUGCCGCUGGAAACUGUCUGGCUAGAGUCCGGAAGGGGCGAGUGGAACUCCUGGUGUAGCGGUGAAAUGCGCAGAUAUCAGGAAGAACACCAAUGGCGAAGGCAGCUCGCUAGGACGGUACUGACGCUGAGGCGCGAAAGCGUGGGGAGCGAACAGG
rnacentral:rRNA from 1 species